AUGAAAAAACACUAAAUGCCUGCUUAAAAACGUAAAUAAGAGGAAAGUCUGGGCUCUACUAAUAGUAUAGGUGCUGGGUAAUAACCAGCGAAGGUGACUUCAGGGAAUGUAAUAUAGAAAACAAAAGCGUAUGCUUAUGAAAUGGUAUACCCUAGAUAAGCACUAAUGCUUAUCUAAUUGAAACACCCACCAAGAGCAAGGCCGUAAGUGCCGCUAAUAAGCUAUAGUAAAUAUGGCUUUAAGAUAAAUAGGCAUUGACAAUAGUAUUUUGUGUGUUUUUAAUAAUAUUGCCACAAAACCCAGCUUAUUGUGUUUUUUCAU
rnacentral:RNase_P_RNA from 1 species